UACAGGGGGGGCAAGCGUUGUUCGGAAUUACUGGGCGUAAAGGGCUCGUAGGUGGCCAACUAAGUCAGACGUGAAAUCCCUCAGCUUAACUGGGGAACUGCGUCUGAUACUGGAUGGCUUGAGAUUGGGAGAGGGAUGCGGAAUUCCAGGUGUAGCGGUGAAAUGCGUAGAUAUCUGGAGGAACACCAGCGGCGAAGGCGGCGCUCUGGGCCGGUACUGACACUGAGGAGCGAAAGCGUGGGUAGCAAACAGG
rnacentral:rRNA from 1 species